rnacentral:rRNA from 1 species
GAUGAACGCUGGCGGCGUGCCUAAUACAUGCAAGUCGAGCGAACAGACGAGGAGCUUGCUCCUCUGACGUUAGCGGCGGACGGGUGAGUAACACGUGGAUAACCUACCUAUAAGACUGGGAUAACUUCGGGAAACCGGAGCUAAUACCGGAUAAUAUAUUGAACCGCAUGGUUCAAUAGUGAAAGACGGUUUUGCUGUCACUUAUAGAUGGAUCCGCGCCGCAUUAGCUAGUUGGUAAGGUAACGGCUUACCAAGGCGACGAUGCGUAGCCGACCUGAGAGGGGGAUCGGCCACACUGGAACUGAGACACGGUCCAGACUCCUACGGGAGGCAGCAGUAGGGAAUCUUCCGCAAUGGGCGAAAGCCUGACGGAGCAACGCCGCGUGAGUGAUGAAGGUCUUCGGAUCGUAAAACUCUGUUAUUAGGGAAGAACAAAUGUGUAAGUAACUAUGCACGUCUUGACGGUAACUAAUCAGAAAGCCACGGCUAACUACGUG